UAAGCGGAGGAAAAGAAACUAACAAGGAUUCCCCUAGUAACGGCGAGUGAACCGGGAAGAGCUCAAAUUUGAAAUCUGGCGUGCUCAGUGCGUCCGAGUUGUAAUCUAUAGAGUCGUUUUCCGUGCCGGACUGUGUCCAAGUCCCUUGGAACAGGGUAUCAAAGAGGGUGAUAAUCCCGUACUUGACACAAUGACCGGUGCUCUGUGAUACGUCUUCUACGAGUCGAGUUGUUUGGGAAUGCAGCUCAAAAUGGGUGGUGAGUUCCAUCUAAAGCUAAAUAUUGGCGAGAGACCGAUAGCGAACAAGUACCGUGAGGGAAAGAUGAAAAGCACUUUGGAAAGAGAGUUAAACAGUACGUGAAAUUGUUAAAAGGGAAACGAUUGAAGUCAGUCGUGACUGAGAGGCUCAGCCGGUUCUGCCGGUGUAUUCCCCUCAGUCGGGUCAACAUCAGUUUUGUUCGGUGGAUAAGGGCAGUUGGAAGGUGGCACCCUCGGGUGUGUUAUAGCCAGCUGUCGCAUACAUCGGAUGAGACUGAGGAAUGCAGCUCGCCUUUAUGGCCGGGGUUCGCCCACGUUCGAGCUUAGGAUGUUGACAUAAUGGCUUUAAACGACCCGUCUUGAA
rnacentral:rRNA from 1 species